AGCUGUUCUUACUACGUACUGAAUAAAGCGAGGAUUUUCAGAAUUAUUUCGUGCUCAAAAUCUUUUUCAAUGUUUGUUAUCCUGUAAGUUAGGAGUAACCGUGCCGACACACCGCGUGCCCUUUUUAUGACAUGCCCGGCAAACAAUGCGAGGGUUGGUGUGGUACCUCUCGCUCUAAUUUCUCUAGUCUAGUCUAGUUGUCUCGCUUCCUCCUAUAGCGAUUCUGUCGAGCUGAGCUUUCACGUCCCUCACCACCGAUCUCCUUCCUACCCCUCGCCUAAGAUCGUCUGACGUCUCGCCUGACACCUUUCGUUGUGUUGGUGCUAUGCGGCUGCUGUCACUGAAGAAGUCAAGUUGUGUGUGUAAAAGAACGUAAACAGUGUUGUUGGCUGAUCAAUUUUGGUAAGUUUUUAAUAAUUAAGUUCUUAAUUUUACGUAAGUAAGUGCCAUUUUAGCAAAAGUUAGUGGUAGAAGUCCUGCCCAAUGCGUGCUGGCUCCGUCGGAAGCGGUACGUGCAUGUAUCGGCAUAGAAAAGUGGUGUGGUGGACAACACAGCACAAGACAGUGGAUAUAAUGCAGAAAUGAUAUGGGCCUGCCGCAGGUGUUUGCGACUGUGCGCUGUGUAUGAUUGUGUAUGAUUCGCCAAUUUUCCUCUAUCCUGGAACGUGGGCUUACGAGGAACCAUUUAAGAACAUCCUCCGGAAGCUGUACGGCGACGAGUCGGGCUCUACCAGCACAACACGCUAGAGGCCCAGCCGGCACCGGGUGCCCCGAUUGCGCCGCCAGACGGUGUCGAGCGCGCUCGUUCAAAACGUUCGGGGCAGGAAUUCAACCCUUCGGAUCAUUAUCCUUUGCCUCACAAUAGCUGCAGCAGCAACCGGACCGAACCGACCGCACUACUGAUUGCGGUCAAAU